GACGUAUGAUGAAGCAAGACAGGAAGAGUAGGGAGGAGAGAGGAAGAACAAUCAAGAAAAGACGAGAAGAGGGAGCAGGAAGUCUUGAAAAGCUGAAAGUAAUGGAAUAAAAUGAAGGGACGGAUAAACAUGGUGAAGAAAGGAGUUCAGAAACGAGCCAUCUCGUGCUGGUGGAUCUGUUUGGAGGCAGACGGUUGCCAUGGUGCGGUUGCCAUGUGGCUGGUGUCUGACUCAGACAGGCCCACACACUGUCAGUAGGAGGACAAGAGAUUACAGCACUCAGUGAAAGGGCAUGAAUACUGACACCCACAAUGUUUUGAUGGGAACAGUAAAUCCCUCAGCGGUGCCUCACCCGAGAAUCAAACAGGCAAGAUGCCAGUUCCCAACAGCGGGCACAUGGGAACACAUCUGAAGCUUGAAUUGCUGACAGCCGACCACACCUUCAUUUGUGAAGGACAUUGUCCUUCAAGAGCCAUUAGCCUCGAGGAGGAGAAAGACAAUGGCUGUGAC
ensembl:lncRNA